CACCUUUUAGUGCUAAACAUAAUGCCAGGUGUUUUGCUUCACAUUUAUGAGGAAUCUGCGGUCAAACCUGUCUUGUUCUUGGUGGCCUGCCAGGAGGAGGAGGAGGAGGAGGAG